CGAAAACAAUCUCUCUACUCUCAUAAAGGUGAGUCGAGGGUGUAUCGGAAAUAUCUCUCUACCCCAUAAAGGUGGGGGCAAGGUUUGUUUACAUUCUGUCCUCCUCAAGAUCCUAUAUCCUAUCGAAAUAGUUAAUUUUCAAUCAAAAAUUCAAUGCCAUACUGUCGAAUUCGAGCUUAAUGUCUAAGCUACAAGGCGAUCGUAAAGGUAUUUACAAUCAAAUUUGCUAGUAAUGUUGAAAUAAACAUUAAUUAGUUCAAGUAGCUAUAACUUUCGCUUCGAAAAAUUAAAAGCGAAAGGAUCAAAAACACACUUAAAACAUCUGGAUUUUGAACUUUCUGAGUAAAAAUCACUUAAAUAUCUCGAUUUUGAACUAUCAGAGUCGAAACACAUGAACUAUUUGUCAAAACACACAUAUUCCACGUAGGAAAAUGAACUAGUCAACAAACUUAAAGGACUAAAAAUGUAAAAUGCUUACUUAAUGGACUAUUUUGAACCUACCUCAAAUAUAAAGGGACCAUUGUUGUAAUUACGCAUUAUAUAAAUAGCAAAAUUGAGCAUUUCAAAAUUCAAAAAUUCACCACAGAGAGUUCACUUUCCAAAGCUUCGAGAUGGUACGCUUACAUGUAAAGCACGGCUGCGGCGGCGACUACGGCGGCGGUGGUGGCGGUGACGGCGGCGCCGGUGAGUUUCUGUACGAAACUGAAACGAGUUCAAUGAUUGAUGAAAUCGCCAAUCAUAUCAUCGAAAUCGCGAAUCUCCAAUCGAAGAUUCAAUGCUUAGCUGGCGAAUUUGAACCUUGUCUCUCAAAGCUUCAAGGUGAUCCUAAAGUGAUGCCUCUGGUAAGAGCUCUCUCCGAAGCUAUGUCGUAUGCUUCCAAGGAUCAGGUUGUACAUAACAAGCCUCUAUCAAUUUAUGUGCUGCGCGAUCACACAAGAAGCAUUGAGAAAGAAUUCUUGGUAACGUAUUCAGUGAUGGGAUUAUCAAGUCCCGAUCUACAGCAGUUCCUGUCAGACUUGCAGAUCCUUGAAGAAAACACAGUGCAACUUUUAUGGGCAGGAAAAGAGCUCACCAGAGGGAAAAAGUUGUGUGACUUUAUAGGAAGAAAUGAGAAAACAAAGAUUGUAAUCAGGCUGCAGUCACUUAUUCCACCUCCUGCAUCACUUUCUGGUGGGGAAAAAUCUUGAAAUAAAAUGAUGACGUCUGGGCUUUGAACGACUUUCAAUUCAGGAAACACACUCUUGAAUGGAUUUCGUGUUUGUUGGGUGCAUUCUUUCCUGUCUGAGCUACAAAGGUCAAUGAUGAAAGAGAGUUCACCUGAGGAAUCGACCCUUGGUCGCGUGGAUGGAAGUGCAGGCGUCAACCAACACACCAAGGUGCACUAUUUGUCAACUAUGGAUGCACUAUAGUAUAUAUUCCAAUUUAUCAAGAAGGAAAAAUAAACAAUGUCACUUCUCACCACUGAAGAUCUCGGGUUCUGGAGUGGUUAGUACUCCUUCAUCCUUAACCAGGUAUCUCGAGUUUAAGUUUUGGGUAUGGAGUUGUUUUUUGUAGGAAGCGCUUUACCCGCUUAAUGGGACUUCUCGACGCGAAUCUAGAUUAGUCGGAUUUCAAUGUGGGUACUGGACAUCGAGUGAGAAAUCAAAAAAAAAAGUGUCACUUCUCAUCACCAAAGGUUGUGGCAGAGUGGUAAGUACUCCUCUAUCCUGAACCAGAUGUCUCGGGUUCAAACCCUGAAUAUGGAGUCGUCACCAAGUGGAAACCUAAAAGCACAAUGUCACUUCUCAUCACCAAAGAUUGUGGUGGAGCAGUAAGUAUUUCUCUAUCCUUGACCAAAUGUUUGGGGUUCACUUCCUGGAUAUGGAGUCGUCGCCGAAAUACAAUGUCACUUUGAUAAAGAGCGCUUUACAUAGUGACACUUCCCCAACACAAAUACAAAUUACUCGGACUCUAAUGUGAGUACCAAAACUCUGAAUAUAGAGUCGUCUUUGAUAAAAAAUGCUUUACAUAAUGAUACUUUCCCAACAUAAAUUCAAAUUACUCAAGCUUUAAUAUGGAUGUCGAACACACUCAUUGAAAAACUAAAAGAAAGAAACAAUGUCACUUCUCUCCAUAGUAUUAUAUGGUGGUCCUUUUACCUAAAUGUGUUCACUUGUCUGUGUCUUUUUGAAUAUAAAUAAUAAUUUAUGCACAAAAUCAAGAAAAAGAAUAUUAAAAAAAUAAUAAUGAAUAAUUAGAUUGUUGACAUUGAACUACUAAUAAGUACUAAUAAAGAAAAGAAAGAAACAAGAAAAACACACGAUCCGACAGGUGAUGGUGGAGGAUGAGAAAGGUUGGAACUCGAGAGUAAUAUUUUUUUCUAAGUCUUUUCAAGUUUUUGAAACUUCCCCACUCAUUAUAAAAUUUUAUAGUAUACUUUUUAUAUUUUUGUCAUUAGAAAGUCACGGGUUUAAUUCAUGAAAAUACUCAUCGACAGUAAUGUAGGUGUAAGAUUGCUGUGUACAAUAAAUUCUUUUGGUUCAAUCUUUUUUUUGAACCCCUAGCAUAGCGGAAGUUUUAAUGCAUCAGACUACUCUUGCUUGAACAUUGUUGAGGUCAGGAACUAUCGGAAACAACCUCUUUACCUCACAAGGUAAGGAUAAGGUUUACAUGUAGUAUACUUUUACAUUUUUGUGAUCAAAAAGUCACACGUUUAAGUCAUGAAAACAUUCCCAGGGUAGUAAUGUAGGGUAAGACUGGUGCGUACAAAAAUUCUUGUGGUUCAGUCUUUUUUCGAACCUCUCGCAUGGCGAGAGCUUUAAUGUAUCAAACUACUCUUGCUUGUACAUUCUUGAGGUCAAGAACUAUCAGAAACAACCUCUUUACCUCACAAGGUAAGGAUAAAGUCUACAUAUAUUUUACAGUGAUGUAGGAUAAGACUGUUGCGUAUAAUAAAUUUUUGUUUCAGACUUUCUCCGAACUUCUAGCAUAGAGGGAGGUUUAAUGUGUCAAAUUGCUCUUGCUUGUACAUUCUUGAGGCCAGGAAUUAUUGGAAACAACCUUUUUAUCUCACAAGGUAAGAAUAAGGUCUACAUAUAUUUUAUUCUUCUCAGUCUCACUUAUAGAAUCACAUUGGAUAUGCUCUUGUUAUAUUGUUUAUCAAAAACAAUCUCUAUACUUCACAUGGUAGAAAUAAGAUCUUUUUACACACUGCAUCCUUUCUUACCCCAGUCACAUUAUAUUGGGUAUGUUAUUAUUAUAUUAUACUUCUACAAUGUUUUGAUAUCUUGUAUUAAAUCCUGCCUAACUGAUAUGACAUCUAUGUAUCUAAUAUGUUGGCUCAAGUCCGUUAAAAAGAUAUUCUUAACAUAAUGUGAUGCAAUUUAGUUUAGCCAAAGCUCAGGUGAUUUAUUUCCAUUAGUCCUUACAAAAUUAAGAGUAUCGCUAAAACAUCUAUGUAAUUUCACAAUCUUCUCAGCUAUCAGCGUGAUACUUUGUCCACAUACCUAAUAAUCUUCUCUCAAACUAUGUUUCAAUGAGUCGCACUAUCACGAUUUUCGAGAUUCACUGUGUGCCACCCAUGAUAUGAUCGAACAUUUAUGACCGGUAUAUUGGAGAUUAGAGCUAGCUUAUUCUUGUAUGCGUGUAUCUUCAAACUACCUUUGGCAUGAUAAACGUAGUAAAUCAAACUCCACUCCGACUCUAAUACCCGUUGUUGGGCUACGCUAGCCAAAAAGGUACUCUUAUAACAUAGUGCAACACCUUUGGCAUGAUAAACGUAGUAAAUUAAGUUCCACUCCUGUUCAUAAUAUCCGUUGUUGGGCUACGUCAGCCAAAAAGGCACUUAUAACAUAGUGCAACACCUUCGGCAUGAUACACGUAGUAAAUCAAGUUCCACUCCGGCUCAUAAUACCGGUUGUUGGCCUGCGUCAGCCAAAUAGGUACUCUUAUAACAUAGUGCAACACCUUCGGCAUGGUAAACGUAGUAAAUCAAGUUCCACUCCGGCUCAUAAUACCCGUUGUUGGGUUAUGUCAGCCAAAAAGGUAUUCUUAUAACACCUUCGGCAUGGUAAACGUAGUAAAUCAAGUUUCAUUGCGACUCUAAUACCCGUUGUUGGGUUACGCCAGCCAAAAGGUACUCUUGUAACAUAGUGAAAUAUUAUCUGCUUUAUGUCAAGCUUGUAGGUUUUCUUUUCUCGAAAAGCAUCCCACCAUUAAUUAAGAAUAUCUCCACAUAUUAUAUGUAGAUUCUUUUUUUCUUUCAACUAGCAAUAGGAGACUUUGUUCGAAUACCCAAAAUAAUAUAGUAUUUCGAUAUAACUUAUACAUAAAAUUGUAUAUUAUUUUAAUGAUAUAAUAAGGAGUAAAGCAUUUAGUACUCCUGAACUAUGAUUAAAUUUGCUACGACACACUCUUAUUUCACGAGAGCUUUAUUACCCGCUGAACUAAAUUUUAACGUAUUUUUGUCAAUCUUUUUAGCUGACGUGACACCUUUGAUGUGGGCUCCAUUUUAUGUAAUAAAGGUGCCGUGUCAGCAUAAAAGGGGGAUAAAAAUAUGUUAAAAUUGAGUUUCGAGAAUAAUAGGACCCCUGUGAAGUUAGGUGUGUGGUAGCAACUUUGGCUAUAGUUCGAGAGAAUACUGGAUACUUAUCUCUUAUUUUAAUUUUAAUGAUAUAAUAACAGUAUCUACACAGUGAACCAUUGCUUUCAAAUUGCAAAUUAGUUUGCCUCUGAGAACACCAAGAGGCACAACUUUUUUUUUUUUUAAUUUCCAAGAGAGACAGAAAAGGAAAUGAAAGAGCAAUUACAGGCACAUUGUGGAUUAUUUAUGACCCACCAAUAACAGAAAUUCUGGAUGUUGUUAGUUCCAUUUUUUUUCAUGUCAAAUAAAACAACAAAAAAAAUAUUUAUAAACUUUUCAGAUUUGUUGAAACAGUGAGGGCCCUCAUUGUUGGAUAUCUUCAUGUGACAUGAAGAAAGUUGAUAGACACCUUCUAAGAUUAAUUAACAACCUCAAAAUAUGCACGUUUGGCUUGUCAUUUUCGCCAAAGAAGUUGCACCGGCGAAUUCAGAAUUUGAACUUUAUAGAUUCGUGCAACCAUCUCAAGUUAAUACUAUACAAGAGAUAAGCGUCCAGUACCCCUCGAACUAUAGCCAAAGUUGCUGCGACGCACUCCAACUUCACAUGGGUCCUAUUAUCCCCUGAACUCAAUUUUAGCGUAUUUUUAUCACCCUUUUGUGUUGACGUGACACGUUUAUUACAUAAAAUAGAGUCCACUUCAAAGGUGCCACGUAAGCUAAAAAGGAUGAUAAAAGGUGCUAUGCCAGCUAAAAAGGUUGAUAAAAAUACGCUAAAAUUUAGUUCGGGAGGUAAUAGGACCCAUGUGAAGUUGAAGUGUGUCGCAACAAAUUUGAUCAUAAUUCAGGGGUUAAUAAAUGCUUUACUCUUAUAUAAUAAUUGAGCUUUUAGUUGAAUAUAUAUAGAUAUUUAAUGUUUGUUUUUUUUUUGUUAUAUAUAGGGUAUGAUGAGCAAAAGUUAUUGAGUUCUCGUGAAACUGUAGAUUGUACUCUAGAUGUGCGACUAUUAGAGGAUAGGCAGAGGCGGACCUACAUUGAGUGCACCCGCUAGCCUCGAGAAAAACUCUGUAUAUAUGGUUUGUAUAUCUAUAUAUAUAUCAAAGUAUUAUGUUAAAUAUAUAUUGUGCACCCACAAUAACAACUAGGUUGGCUGGUGAGAUGGUUUGGUAUGCCACUUGAAAGUUGCUCUUAAUGUGUGAUUGCUCAGGUUCGAGCCCUAGCAACAACGUUUUAUUGCUCCUUUUAUCAUUUUUCAAUUUUCUAUUGCGUGAUUGCUCAGGUUCGAACCCCAACAACAAUGUUUCUUUAUUGCUCCUUUUUUCAUUUUCCAAUUUUCUAUUGUGUGAUUGCUCAGGUUCGAACUCCA